rnacentral:ncRNA from 1 species
ACAAUGGAGAGUUUGAUCCUGGCUCAGGAUGAACGCUAGCGGCAGGCCUAACACAUGCAAGUCGAGGGGCAUCGGGGUUGAAGCUUGCUUCAACUGCCGGCGACCGGCGCACGGGUGCGUAACGCGUAUGCAACCUACCCAGAACAGGGGGAUAACACUGAGAAAUUGGUACUAAUACCCCAUAAUAUAUAGGGAGGCAUCUUCCUAUGUUGA